UACGUAGGGGGGCAAGCGUUGUCCGGAAUUAUUGGGCGUAAAGAGCUCGUAGGCGGCUUGUCGCGUCGUUCGUGAAAACCUGUGGCUCAACUACAGGCUUGCGGUCGAUACGGGCAGGCUGGAGUUCGGUAGGGGAGACUGGAAUUCCUGGUGUAGCGGUGAAAUUCGUAGAUAUCAAGCGGAACACCGGUGGCGAAGGCGGCCUUCUGGACAGUGACUGACGCUGAGACGCGAAAGCGUGGGGAGCAAACAGG
rnacentral:rRNA from 1 species